UGUUGGGAGGGAGGGAAAUCAUGGGUGAUUACAGCAAUAACUUCUCUUCAUGUUGGACUUCUGUGUCAUCUUCUCUGAAGUUCUUGCUGGUUUUUGUAACUUUGAUUCUAGUAUCUGGGUUUCUUUUAAUUUUGGAUCUACAGACCUCUCGAGUUUCAUUAUCUUACAAUCCUCGGGUUUCGAGAGCUGGUUCUUCUUCUUUCUCUUCUCCCA